GUAAUAUAAGAUACAAUCUCUUAGCUUUUAACUAAAAAAACUGUGAAACGUCUAUUAAAUAAGAAAUAUACGAAACGUAUCUUAGUUUUUUUAGUUAAAAGCUAAGAGAUUGUAUCUUAUAUUAC
rfam:Brassica oleracea var. oleracea cultivar TO1000 chromosome C9, whole genome shotgun sequence